AGCUGGGUGAGGUGUUAUUUACAGAAAUAGCAGCUGUUUAUUUGGUCUUUUAAGCUCUCAUGAGGAUGAGUUGACUCACUCUGGUUGUUAGGAGAACCCAGCGGACCAGAUGAUGAUCCUGCUUUCAGGAGUGACACAUCCUACCCGUGCACUCUGGACAAGCCUUUGGAUGUCACCACCUCUGUCUGGGCUACAAGCUAUUGGCAAGUCUUCCAGCUGAAAGUCCCAGUUGCACAGUCCCAAGGCGCUCCACAGCAUUCCCAGGUCGCCGACAGUUGACUCCAGAGACUGCUUGCUUCCAAGCCAGUACCUAUCUCAGAGGGUUCCUGGGAAGAUGAAUCAAGUCAAUACCCGGAAAGUACAUGGAAUGGUGCCUGGUUCAGAGAUUCUCUUGGUAAACAUGUGGCAAACGUCCAAUGACUCUAACUUUCUAAAUUUGAGAAAUGAUUUUUCAAAGAGCAUUUCUAGCACCCAAGUAAGCAGACUCCUGUGACUCAUAAAAGAUCAUUGAUAUAUGUGCAUCCAAGAUGGAUGAGAUUGCAAGUGUAUAACUGCUAUGCUCAAGGCAAGUCAUGUUAUAUAAACCAUCUGGACCUAGGAGGGCUCGCUGUGCUUUAACACGAUAAAGAAGAAGCCAUGGUUUCUUGCUUGUUCUGCUAACACAAAGUGAUGUGAUUUCUAACAGAUAAAAAUGUAUUUACCCUUGA